GCCGAUGUGGUGGAAUUGGUAGACACGCCAUCUUGAGGGGGUGGUGAGCAUCGCUCAUGCUAGUUCGAGUCUAGUCAUCGGCA
rnacentral:tRNA from 1 species